rnacentral:tRNA from 1 species
GGCCGACUAGCCCAGUGGUUAAGGCGCUCGCUUUACAUCUAUGAUCGCGAGAGAUCGCAGGUUCGAUCCCUGCGUCGGUCA